GACGAACGCUGGCGGCGUGCUUAACACAUGCAAGUCGAGCGGAGCGGCGAACGGGUGAGUAACUCGUGAGUAACUGCCCCCCUCUCUUUGAUAACAGUUGGAAACGGCUGCUACUACCGGAUAGUGGGGGAUGACUCGCGUCCUCUCAGCUUGUUGGUGGGGUAGUGGCCUACCAAGGCGACGACGGGUAGCCGGCCUGCGAGGGCGACCGGCCACAUUGGGCUGAGAUGCGGCCAAAACUCCUACGGGAGGAAGGAGUGGGGAAUAUUGCAAAAUGGGGGAAACCCUGAUGCAGCAACGCGCGGGGGGGAUGACGGCCUUCGGGUUGUAAACCGCUUUCAGCCAGGACGCGGUAGUGGCAGAAGAAGCACCGGCUAACUACGUGCCAGCAGCCGCGGUAAUAC
rnacentral:rRNA from 1 species